GGAAUAUUAGAACAGAACAUCAGAUCCAGGAAGGACCUUAUAUAUCAUACAGGGUACUCCUAAAGAUUUUACCCUGUAUCUCCUGGUCAUGUUCUACACCGUUCUCUACUAGUCUACUAUGGAUUACAUUUGGAGACUCCUGAGUUCAAAUUAGGCCUCAGACACUUACUAGGCGUGUGAAUGUGGGUAAUGGAGAAUAACUCAGUAAACGUAAAAUGAUGAUGUAAUAGGGGUUUGAGAAGUGACUGGCAUACAGGAGUUUGUAGUUCACAAGGGCGGCCUUGAGAGCGGUUUGAGACUAUGGUGAUCUUUGAGCUGGAAAGUAGACUUGAGUCAUGCCUGGGAGUUCUUAAAAAGACACAGAUAGUCUGUGACAGGACAGACUCAGAGGAAGGAAAAAGACAAAAAGAGCUGAGCAGCAUCAAUAACUGUGGAGAAAAUCUCGAGCCCUGCCAAGGACUUAACUUGCCAAGAUGGAAUGGAAUGGAGGUAGAGAAGCAAUCAAUGGAAAAAGAAGUGAAGAGGAAAUGGAGCUGUUGUAGAGAAGUGGAAAAUUAAGCAGUCAUUGGGUGUUCUGAACAACAGACUAAAGCUGAUGCUCUAGGUUAUGGGGACCUUUUCCAGUACUGAAGAAAGUUAUCCC